AGCCUGAACGCUGGCGGCGUGGCUAAGACAUGCAAGUCGUACGGGCCCGCAAGGGUCAGUGGCGAACGGGUGAGUAAUGAAUCGCUAACGUACCCCGGGCUCUGGGAUAGCCGGCCGAAAGGCCGGGUAAUACCAGAUGAUGUAACCUUGUCGCAUGAUAGGGUUCCCAAAGGUCCGCC
rnacentral:rRNA from 1 species